rnacentral:rRNA from 1 species
UUGAACGCUGGCGGCAUGCUUUACACAUGCAAGUCGAACGGUAACAGCACUUCGGUGGCUGACGAGUGGCGAACGGGUGAGUAAUACAUCGGAACGUGCCUAGUAGUGGGGGAUAACUACUCGAAAGAGUAGCUAAUACCGCAUGAGAUCUAAGGAUGAAAGCAGGGGACCUUCGGGCCUUGCGCUACUAGAGCGGCUGAUGGCAGAUUAGGUAGUUGGUGGGAUAAAAGCUUACCAAGCCGACGAUCUGUAGCUGGUCUGAGGGGACGACCAGCCACACUGGGACUGAGACACGGCCCAGACUCCUACGGGAGGCAGCAGUGGGGAAUUUUGGACAAUGGGCGCAAGCCUGAUCCAGCAAUGCCGCGUGCAGGAUGAAGGCCUUCGGGUUGUAAACUGCUUUUGUACGGAACGAAAAGCCCUCUUCUAAUACAGGAGGGUCAUGACGGUACCGUAAGAAUAAGCACCGGCUAACUACGUG